AGCGAACGCUGGCGGUAGGCCUAACACAUGCAAGUCGAACGGCAGCACAGUAAGAGCUUGCUCUUACGGGUGGCGAGUGGCGGACGGGUGAGGAAUACAUCGGAAUCUACUUUUUCGUGGGGGAUAACGUAGGGAAACUUACGCUAAUACCGCAUACGACCUACGGGUGAAAGCAGGGGAUCUUCGGACCUUGCGCGAUUGAAUGAGCCGAUGUCGGAUUAGCUAGUUGGCGGGGUAAAGGCCCACCAAGGCGACGAUCCGUAGCUGGUCUGAGAGGAUGAUCAGCCACACUGGAACUGAGACACGGUCCAGACUCCUACGGGAGGCAGCAGUGGGGAAUAUUGGACAAUGGGCGCAAGCCUGAUCCAGCCAUACCGCGUGGGUGAAGAAGGCCUUCGGGUUGUAAAGCCCUUUUGUUGGGAAAGAAGAGCAGCAGGUUAAUACCCCGCUGUUCUGACGGUACCCAAAGAAUAAGCACCGGCUAACUUCGUG
rnacentral:rRNA from 1 species